rnacentral:rRNA from 1 species
GAUGAACGCUAGCGGCAGGCUUAAUACAUGCAAGUCGAGGGGCAGCAGGACUGUAGCAAUGCAGUUGCUGGCGACCGGCAACCGGGUGCGGAACACGUACGCAACCUACCCAAAACUGGGGGAUAGCCCGGGGAAACCCGGAUUAAUACCUCGUAACCUUUUUAAGUGGCAUCACUUGAUAAGUAUAGCUCCGGCGGUUUUGGAUGGGCGUGCGCCUGAUUAGGUAGUUGGUGCGGGUAACGGCCCACCAAGCCUGCGAUCAGUAACUGGUGUGAGAGCACGACCAGUCACACGGGCACUGAGACACGGGCCCGACUCCUACGGGAGGCAGCAGUAAGGAAUAUUGGUCAAUGGACGCAAGUCUGAACCAGCCAUGCCGCGUGAAGGAUGAAGGUCCUCUGGAUUGUAAACUUCUUUUAUGGGGGACGAAACCCGGACAUUCUUAUCCGAUUGACGGUACCUCAGGAAUAAGCACCGGCUAACUCCGUG